CCUCAAGAUCCGCCUCCCAAAGUGCUGAGAUUACAGGAGUGAGCCACCACACCCGGCCUCACUUUUAGGAUUUCUUGUACCCUGAGGGCUUUGUGAAACACUUUAAAGUCCAAGAAUUAUCACCUAAUAUUUGUUUUCUUGGCCGGGCGCAGUGGCUCACGCCUGUAAUCCCAGCACUUUGGGAGGCCGAGGUGGGUGGAUCACAAGGUCAGGAGAUCGAGACCAUCCUGGCUAACAUGGUGAAACCCCGUCUCUACUAAAAAAAAUACAAAAAAAUUAGCCGGGCGUGGUGGCAGGCGCCUGUAGUCCCAGCUACUCAGGAGGCUGAGGCAUGGGAAUGGCAUGAACGUGGGAGGUGGAGCUUGCAGUGAGCCGAGAUUGUGCCACUGCACUCCAGCCUGGGCGACAGAGCGAGACUCUAUCUCAAAAAAAAAAAAAAAAAAAAAAAAAAAG
rnacentral:lncRNA from 1 species